rnacentral:rRNA from 1 species
GAUCCUGGCUCAGGACGAACGCUGGCGGCGUGCCUAAUACAUGCAAGUAGAACGCUGAAGGAGGAGCUUACUCUUCUGGAUGAGUUGCGAACGGGUGAGUAACGCGUAGGUAACCUGCCUGGUAGCGGGGGAUAACUAUUGGAAACGAUAGCUAAUACCGCAUAAUAUUGAUUAUUGCAUGAUAGUCAAUUAAAAGGUGCAAUUGCACCACUACCAGAUGGACCUGCGUUGUAUUAG